rnacentral:rRNA from 1 species
CCUACGGGUGGCAGCAGUGAGGAAUAUUGGUCAAUGGGCGGGAGCCUGAACCAGCCAAGUCGCGUGAGGGAAGACGGUCCUAUGGAUUGUAAACCUCUUUAGGCGGGGAGCAAUGCCGGGCACGCGUGCCCGGAGGGAGAGUACCCGCAGAAUAAGCAUCGGCUAACUCCGUGCCAGCAGCCGCGGUAAUACGGGGGAUGCGAGCGUUAUCCGGAUUUAGUGGGUUUAAAGGGUGCGCAGGCGGAAGGUCAAGUCAGCGGUAAAAUUGAGAGGCUCAACCUCGUCGAGCCGUUGAAACUGGUUUUCUUGAGUGAGUGAGAGGUAUGCGGAAUGCGUGGUGUAGCGGUGAAAUGCUUAGAGAUCAUACAGAACACCGAUUGCGAAGGCAGCUUACCAAGCUACUUCUGACGUUGAGGCACGAAAGCGUGGGGGGCAAACAGGAUUAGAUACCCUGGUAGUC